rnacentral:snRNA from 1 species
AUCGCUUCUCGGCCUUUUGGCUAAGAUCAAGUGUAGUAUAUAUAUAGAUUAGACUCAAAGAAGGAAACAUAA